rnacentral:rRNA from 1 species
UGGGGAAUCUUGGACAAUGGGGGCAACCCUGAUCCAGCGAUGCCGCGUGAGCGAAGAAGGCCUUAGGGUUGUAAAGCUCUUUCGCCCGCGACGAUGAUGACGGUAGCGGGAGAAGAAGCCCCGGCUAACUCCGUGCCAGCAGCCGCGGUAAUACGGAGAGGGCUAGCGUUGUCCGGAAUUACUGGGCGUAAAGCGCGCGUAGGCGGUCCACCAAGUCGGGGGUGAAAGCCCGGGGCUCAACCCCGGAAUGUCCUCCGAGACUGUUGGACUGGAGUUCGGGAGAGGAGAGCGGAAUUCCCAGUGUAGAGGUGAAAUUCGUAGAUAUUGGGAAGAACACCGGUGGCGAAGGCGGCUCUCUGGCCCGCAACUGACGCUGAGGCGCGAAAGCGUGGGGAGCAAAC